UACGAAGGGGGCUAGCGUUGUUCGGAAUUACUGGGCGUAAAGCGCACGUAGGCGGCUUUGUAAGUUAGAGGUGAAAGCCCGGAGCUCAACUCCGGAAUUGCCUUUAAGACUGCAUCGCUUGAAUCCAGGAGAGGUGAGUGGAAUUCCGAGUGUAGAGGUGAAAUUCGUAGAUAUUCGGAAGAACACCAGUGGCGAAGGCGGCUCACUGGACUGGUAUUGACGCUGAGGUGCGAAAGCGUGGGGAGCAACAGG
rnacentral:rRNA from 1 species